AUGGGAAACGUGCAAACAGACUCAGGGCAAGUCAAGGGCCAGAAGCGGUCCCUGUCCCCAUCCCUCCUUCUCACCGGAGCCCUGGCCUCACAUACUCUCUUGCCUUGUGUCUCUGUGUCUCUGCUCUGCAGCCAGAACCAACCUUGGCCUUCUCAUCCCAGCUUCCUCCUCUGCUGGGACCUCAGAGACGGUGCAAGUUGGUCUGCGAGCCCAUGUGCAAAAUUAUCGCUGACACCACCCCACGCCCCUUCAGCCGGACCCCAGGAGCAAGCCAGGAAACUAACUGACAGUCUUCGAAGAUAUAUCAUGUUGAGCUCAUGGCUUGGCCCACCUCUGACCCGCCACCGGGUCCUCUGAAGGAGCACAUUGUGAUAGAUGAGAAGGGUGGGUGUGUUACAUGACAUGCCCUAAAUGGACUUUGGUAGGUGUGGCAGGUUGAACUGUGUCCCUAGAAAGACCUGUACCAGUUCUAACCCUCAGUACUGUGACUGUGACCUUCUUUGGAAAUAGGGCCUUUGCAGAUAUAAUUGAGGAUCUCCGGAUGAGUUCAUCCUGGAUUUAACCCAAUAAGAAGAGUUUUAAGACACAGAGAAACAGGGGAGAAGGCCUUGCAAGGAUGGAGGCAAAGACUGGAAUUAUGCUGCCGCCAGCCAAGGAACUUCAAGAGCCAAUAGAAGCUGGAGGAGGCAAGGAAGGAUUCUCCCUGAAAGCCUUUGGAGAACGCAUGGCCCUGCUGACACUGUGACUUCUGACUUGUGGACUCUGAGAAUAAACUUCUAUCGUUUUAAGUCACCAGGUUUGUGCUAAUUUGUUACAGCAGUCCUAGGAAAUACACGUAAGAACUACAAAAAUUACAGUUCCAAAGAUAAUACCUCCAAUAUCUGAACCCUGCUCUGGCCAUGUGUCAGAAGUUCAUUUUAACCGCUGAUCUCAGGCAAAGGGGCAAAGCUGCAAUGAAUCUGAAAUCCAGUCUCCAAACAGCUUUGCUAACUACCCUCACAGAUGCUUUGCAAAGUAGAUCUUUAUCUUAAGAACAUUAUAGGUGUUUUUGACCAAAUGCAGGCCAUAACCAAAAAUAUACAAAUUCGGAUGAAUCCCAAGAAAAAAUUCUUGCCUAUAAAAAUUGGAUUUGUAUCUCAAAAUACUUUGACCUCAUAAGGGGCCUUGGCUGAACAUUCGUCCUUGAUGCUCACCUACUGCCUAUUACCAUUUUGUAAAAGUAUCUAGUGGUUUAUUUAAUUGUGAAGAUUGCCAGAAGAUGUAUUUCAAUAUUUUUUAAAGUAUCUUAAAAUAACAUAAAGGCCUAAUUCAUCUGGCAUUGGCAAAUAUGACUUGGAAAAUCAAUUCCAUAUAUUUUUAGACCAUACUACCAGACAAUUUGGUCAUAUCCAUACAUGUAAUUAGAAGAGCUGGAAAAUGGGGCACUCUCUAGCAGUAUAAAUUGAAAACUUUGAAAAUGUUCCACAAAAUGCUAGAAAAGGAAAAAUCAUUUUAUACAUGGCUGAUGAGAGAGAAUCGAUUAGAAAACAAAACCAAAAUAAGCGUGUUUAAGAUGCUGAAGGUGAUAUUAAUGUUCUGACUUUAUAAAUAUUAAAAACAUUGUUAUAGGGACUUCCCUGGUGGCGCAGUGAGUUAAGACUCUGCGCUCCCAAUGCAGGGAGCCUGGGUUCAAUCCCUGGUCAGGAAACUAGAUCCCACAUGCAUGCCACAACCAAGAGUUCACAUGCCACAACUAAGGAGCCUGCCUGCUGCAACUAAGACCUGGUGCAACCAAAUAAGUAAGUAAAUAACUAUUAAAGAAAAAAAAAGUGCUUCAAAGAAGUACAGGGAAUGCGAGUGUGUCUGAGAUGAUCUGACUUGACUGGUGGGGGUGAGGAGGGAGGGUCAGGGAAGUGCUGUUUAAACUACACUCACAGGGAUGACUAGCAGUUAAGAGGUUGAGGGAGGAGUAGGGCCGCUCUGGGUGAGGGGUGGAAGGAAAAAAUAUUUCAGACGAAAUAAGCAGCACAUUGGAGACUCUGAGUCAGAUCUCUGUUGUUCUCCUUUUCCAUCUCCCUCUGUACCCAUGGGCUCUUCUCUGCGUCUUCAAACAAAAACCUAAACUUAAAUAUUUUUCUAGGUAGAAUGUGUUGUGGAGUUAUUCUUGAGCAGAAAGACCUUCCCCUUAUCCAAAUUAGUCUCUGUCUCCCUGCCUUGGAGUCAGUAACUUAAACAUCGCUUCUGAACAUGUAUUGAUUCCUAAGUUACCCUUAGUCACCUUCAUUUUAGCAUAAAUGAAUUUAGAUCCUUUCUUGAAAGAGGGAAUGGAUAUAAAAGGAUAUAAGAAUGGGGAAAAAAAUUUGACAUAAUCUAUCUUAUCACCAGAGUAUAGGAAAUCUAGAUGUCAUGUGCCUUUGUGUUCCUAUAGGUAAAUCUAGAUACCCUGGAAGGGGAAGAAGUGGGAACACACCAGUGACUACUCACCAUCUGAGAUGUGAGAACUCCAUGGAGAAAGACCAGAAGACUCACACGCUGCACCAUGCUGAGGUGCUGAAAGCACAAGUGAAACUUUUUAUUUAUAUAAAUAAACAUGUACGUGCGUAUCCAUAGAUGAUGUCUUGAUCAUUCAGACUUUCCUUCAUUUAUUAAACACCCACUGUGUACCAUGGGAGGUGGAGCACAGAGGUGCUGGAGCAGGUGAGACUUGAAAUACUGACUUUGACACUUGCUAGCUGUGUGACCUAGGGCAAGUUAUUUAACCUCUUCAUGCCUCAUUGUCCUCAUCUAUAAAAUGGAGAUAAUAUUAAAAGCUAUUUCGCGCUUCCUGGAUAGCACAGUGGUUAAGAAUCCGCCUGCCAAUGCAGGGGACACGGGGUCGAGCCCUAGUCCGGGAAGAUCCCACAUGCUGCGGAGCAGCUAAGCCCCAGGCACCACAACUACUGAGCCU
rnacentral:lncRNA from 1 species